rnacentral:RNase_P_RNA from 1 species
UCAGUCGGCCGGACGGCCGCCGCGGCUAGGCCCGAAAGGGUGCCGGGGAGGAAAGUCCGGGCUCCAUGGACGAACGGUGCCGGAUAACGUCCGGCGGGGAUGGCGCUGCGCAAGCGGCGCCAGCCUCAGGGACAGUGCCACAGAAAACAGACCGCCCCGGCUGCGUUGUGUAUUGGCCGGGGUAAGGGUGAAACGGUGGGGUAAGAGCCCACCGCGCUUCCGGCAACGGCGGCGGCACGGCAAACCCCACCGGGAGCAAGACCGAAUAGGAAUGACGCAGAAGCGCAAGCUUCAGGUCCGUCCGGGCCGGUCAUUCGGGUAGGUUGCUUGACGCGCCGGGCAACCGGCGCGCUAGAGGAAUGGCCGUCACGUUCGCGGGUUUUCCCGCGGGCCAUACAGAACCCGGCUUACAGGCCGGCUGAUAUG